rnacentral:rRNA from 1 species
GACGAACGCUGGCGGCGCGCCUAACACAUGCAGGUCGAACGAGCGAGAGAGAGCUUGCUUUCUCGAGCGAGUGGCGAACGGGUGAGUAACGCGUGAGGAACCUGCCUCAAAGAGGGGGACAACAGUUGGAAACGACUGCUAAUACCGCAUAAGCCCACGGGUCGGCAUCGACCAGAGGGAAAAGGAGCAAUCCGCUUUGAGAUGGCCUCGCGUCCGAUUAGCUAGUUGGUGAGGUAAUGGCCCACCAAGGCGACGAUCGGUAGCCGGACUGAGAGGUUGAACGGCCACAUUGGGACUGAGACACGGCCCAGACUCCUACGGGAGGCAGCAGUGGGGAAUAUUGCACAAUGGGGGAAACCCUGAUGCAGCGACGCCGCGUGGAGGAAGAAGGUCUUCGGAUUGUAAACUCCUGUUGUUGGGGAAGAUAAUGACGGUACCCAACAAGGAAGUGACGGCUAACUACGUG